ACUCAGGUGGUCAGGUAGAGAAUACCGAGGCGUUCGGGUGAACUAUGGUUAAGGAACUCGGCAAAAUGCCCCCGUAACUUCGGGAGAAGGGGGGCCACAUCCGGUGAUGAUUUACUCUGAGCUGGGGGUGGCCGCAGAGACCAGCGAGAAGCGACUGUUUACUAAAAACACAGGUCCGUGCGAAGCCGUAAGGCGAUGUAUACGGACUGACGCCUGCCCGGUGCUGGAACGUUAAGGGGACCGGUUAGUCACAUUUCGGUGUGGCGAAGCUGAGAACUUAAGCGCCAGUAAACGGCGGUGGUAACUAUAACCAUCCUAAGGUAGCGAAAUUCCUUGUCGGGUAAGUUCCGACCUGCACGAAUGGCGUAACGACUUCUCGACUGUCUCAACCAUAGGCCCGGUGAAAUUGCACUACGAGUAAAGAUGCUCGUUUCGCGCAGCAGGACGGAAAGACCCCGGGACCUUUACUACAGUUUGAUAUUGGUGUUCGGUUCGGCUUGUGUAGGAUAGCUGGGAGACUUUGAAACUCGGACGCCAGUUCGGGUGGAGUCGUCGUUGAAAUACCAGUCUGGUCGUGCUGGAUGUCUAACCUGGGUCCGUGAUCCGGAUCAGGGACAGUGUCUGAUGGGUAGUUUAACUGGGGCGGUUGCCUCCUAAAGGGUAACGGAGGCGCCCAAAGGUUCCCUCAGCCUGGUUGGUAAUCAGGUGUUGAGUGUAAGUGCACAAGGGAGCUUGACUGUGAGACCGACGGGUCGAGCAGGGACGAAAGUCGGGACUAGUGAUCCGGCGGUGGCUUGUGGAAGCGCCGUCGCUCAACGGAUAAAAGGUACCCCGGGGAUAACAGGCUGAUCUUCCCCAAGAGUCCAUAUCGACGGGAUGGUUUGGCACCUCGAUGUCGGCUCGUCGCAUCCUGGGGCUGGAGUCGGUCCCAAGGGUUGGGCUGUUCGCCCAUUAAAGCGGUACGCGAGCUGGGUUUAGAACGUCGUGAGACAGUUCGGUCCCUAUCCGCUGCGCGCGCAGGAACAUUGAGAAGGGCUGUCCCUAGUACGAGAGGACCGGGACGGACGAACCUCUGGUGUGCCAGUUGUUCUGCCAAGGGCAUGGCUGGUUGGCUACGUUCGGGAGGGAUAACCGCUGAAAGCAUCUAAGCGGGAAGCCUGCUUCGAGAUGAGUGUUCCCACCCCCUUUGAGGGGUUAAGGCUCCCAGUAGACGACUGGGUUGAUAGGCCGGAUCUGGAAGCCCAGUAAUGGGUGGAGGUGACCGGUACUAAUAGGCCGAGGGCUUGUCCAUAUUU
rnacentral:rRNA from 1 species